rnacentral:ncRNA from 1 species
GUGACUCUGGAGAAGCUCGACAAACGGGUGCCGAAGGUGCAACGCAGAUGAGGAUGUGUGUCAUCUGCCAAUCUCUCAGGCAAAAGGACAGAGAUG